rnacentral:rRNA from 1 species
GACGAACGCUGGCGGCGUGCUUAACACAUGCAAGUCGAACGGAAAGGCCCUGCUUUUGUGGGGUGCUCGAGUGGCGAACGGGUGAGUAACACGUGAGUAACCUGCCCUUGACUUUGGGAUAACUUCAGGAAACUGGGGCUAAUACCGGAUAGGAGCUCCUGCUGCAUGGUGGGGGUUGGAAAGUUUCGGCGGUUGGGGAUGGACUCGCAGCUUAUCAGCUUGUUGGUGGGGUAGUGGCUUACCAAGGCUUUGACGGGUAGCCGGCCUGAGAAGGUGACCGGCCACAUUGGGACUGAGAUACGGCCCAGACUCCUACGGGAGGCAGCAGUGGGGAAUAUUGCACAAUGGGCGGAAGCCUGAUGCAGCAACGCCGCGUGCGGGAUGACGGCCUUCGGGUUGUAAACCGCUUUCGCCUGUGACGAAGCGUGAGUGACGGUAAUGGGUAAAGAAGCACCGGCUAACUACGUG